UAGGGAAUCUUCCACAAUGGGCGAAAGCCUGAUGGAGCAACGCCGCGUGUGUGAUGAAGGCUUUCGGGUCGUAAAGCACUGUUGUAUGGGAAGAACAGCUAGAAUAGGAAAUGAUUUUAGUUUGACGGUACCAUACCCGAAAGGGACGGCUAAAUACGUGCCAC
rnacentral:rRNA from 1 species